UACGAAGGGGGCUAGCGUUGUUCGGAAUUACUGGGCGUAAAGCGCACGUAGGCGGAUAUUUAAGUCAGGGGUGAAAUCCCGGGGCUCAACCCCGGAACUGCCUUUGAUACUGGGUAUCUCGAGUCCGGAAGAGGUGAGUGGAACUCCGAGUGUAGAGGUGAAAUUCGUAGAUAUUCGGAAGAACACCAGUGGCGAAGGCGGCUCACUGGUCCGGUACUGACGCUGAGGUGCGAAAGCGUGGGGAGCAAACAGG
rnacentral:rRNA from 1 species